rnacentral:rRNA from 1 species
GGGUAACGGGGUGUUAGGGCACGACACCGGAGAGGGAGCCUGAGAAACGGCUACCACAUCCAAGGAUGGCAGCAGGCGCGCAAAUUACCCAAUCCCGACACGGGGAGGUAGUGACAAUAAAUAACAAUACGGGGUUCUUUCGGAUCUCGUAAUUGGAAUGAGUACAAUUUAAAUCUCUUAACGAGGAACAAUUGGAGGGCAAGUCUGGUGCCAGCAGCCGCGGUAAUUCCAGCUCCAAUAGCGUAUAUUAAAGUUGUUGCAGUUAAAAAGCUCGUAGUUGAAUUUCGGGGUUAGUAGGUUGGUCAUGCCUCUGGUAUGUACUGGUCUCACUGAUUCCUCCUUCCUGAUGAACCGUAAUGCCAUUAAUUUGGUGUUGCGGGGAAUUUGGACUGUUACUUUGAAAAAAUUAGAGUGUUUAAAGCAAGCUAACGCUUGAAUACAUUAGCAUGGAAUAAUGAAAUAGGACGUUCGAUCCUAUUUUGUUGGUUUCUAGGAUUGACGUAAUGAUUAAUAGGGAUCGUUGGGGGCAUUAGUAUUCAAUUGUCAGAGGUGAAAUUCUUGGAUUUAUUGAAGACUAACUACUGCGAAAGCAUUUGCCAAGGAUGUUUUCAUUAAUCAAGAACGAAAGUUAGGGGAUCGAAGACGAUCAGAUACC